rnacentral:lncRNA from 1 species
AAAUUCUGAAAGGUUGCCUCAUCGCUGGAAAUAUGUGUAAUGUUGGAGCAAUGCUAGAUUAUAAAAUUUAUCGUUAAUUAAUAAUGAAACACACAAAGAUUGAGCAGUUGUUGUCAUCAGAAACAUCUACCAGGAACUUACAGGGGGUCAUGAGAUAGCUCUACAGCAAACAAGAAAGAGAAGAAAUGCUUCUUGCCCUGGCAGAAUUAUAAGUGGGCACACUUGCUAUGUUAUACAAUAUUAGGCAUGCAGUAGAAAAAAACAAGGAACCAUACAAAUCACCAGGUGUCUGGUCACAAACUCUGGCAGAGCUUCACACCAAGCAGGCAAGCUACAAGAUUUGGAACAACACAGCUUAUAGAUGAAAGUUAAAGGCAUUUAAUUUACUUGAAAACAGAGGAAGAAAGGACCAACACAUAAAAGAACAUUCAUUUUGAGGGAUGAGCAAUUCAAUUGAGUUCAAGGGUAGAGCAAUGGUGACUUCUCAGCCACCUGCUAUCAAUUUGACAUGUAUUAAGCACACGACUGGGUUAAUAAAAGUGGGAGUUUGGGUUAAAAUGCCCUUUGAGAGGCCCUGAAAAAAUGUUUGUCUAAGAAAGUUGAAACUAUGGAAGAAAAGGUGGUCAACUUCAGAGACAUAGAUGUAACUCCUGCAACGUGCUUCAACAUGGUUUAGCCAAGCGGAAACUUUUUCUUCCUAGUGUAUGCUCUUUAACGUAUUUAAGAUGUCCUUAACAUCUUUCAGAAAUCUACUUUUCUACCAAUAUUAUAUGGGUUAAUAUUUUUCAUAGAUAAAGCACAAAUAGUAGAGGGCUAAUUUUCAGACUAUGCUGCAUUUAUGAAGCAAAGCAAACCUCAUCUGCUUUCAUGACUUGAAUGGAGGAGAAUGGUUAGAGACUAUUAAAAGAGGAGAGGAGAGGAAAGAAGAGGCAAGAGCAAGAACAUACAGCAGACUGGCUGCUCCAACUUGGCAGUGGUCUCUCUAGUUCCUGGAGUCCUGUCCAUGAAUGAGGUUGGACUUGCAGCCACCAGCCAUUGCCAGUGGAGAGGCAGCGCCAGACUCCUACCAGCACUCACAUGGGUGGCAAUGGAAUGAAGUCACCACAUUUAGCAAAGGGUGAUGGCACAUUUCUUGGGUUUGCUAUGGGAGUAACCUUCUGUUUAAAUGUAUUACACAGAGCUCAUCUCUAACAAAAUCAUCUUCCUAUUUGGUUAACACUGUAAAUGAAAAUUCUGAACAGUGUGUGUUUACGCAAAGGUAGAAUCUAUACUCUCAGACUGCUAUCCAUUUGUGUGACCAUAAAGUCUUUAAAACUGAAGUAACGAUGGGGCAGAGAGAGGCAGUAUUUAAUAUCAAAAAGCCACAUGGUUGUUACAAUUUUAGGCAAGCUUAAGCAGAAAUUGUAUAUGUAAGGAAUAAAAUGUCAAUGUUACUUUCAGUUUGAAUUUCUACCACUGAAAUUUUAAUUCAAUCCAAAAUAUUCCUCUGCACAUGAGUCAGGCAGAAUGACCAAAUGUUGAUGCUGCGUGAUGAUGAUGUCCAUAGCCUGGACCUCUUCCCAUCUGGCUCCUUGGAUUACCUCACAGCCCUUCCUAGGUACCCAGAAUGUUUGCUCUUUGGUUAUAAGGCCAGAUGAAUGAGCAAAAACUCCCACCUAAAUCUGUAGCAUGCGGACAACCAAAUGAAUAGAUAUUUGAUUCUACUCACAGAUAUCAAACUAAAUAUGUUAAAUUCUAAAGAGAGCUAUUUCAACACUCUCAAUCUUCAAAAUGGAAAAGCUGCUUCUGUACUUAUGUAAAAUAUAAUAUGCUAUGUUAUACUAUUUGUUACUUCACAAAGUUUUUAACACAUCAUUUUAACACCUCCAAGUCUAUAAAUGUAUACUGCAGCAGAAGCCAUAUUGAGCAUAUAUAAUCAAAAUCGAAUCCUAUAUUCCUGCAGCUCUCACCACCAUCAAAGCUUGCCAUCUGGAGAAAACACAGGGCGACCGUGGCCUACAGAUAGAUGCUUAGAGAAUCCAACCUUCAUCCUGAGCAUGAGGGUGUUGGCGUUUGGAAAAGAGGAAGAAGGGGAAGCAGGCAAAUGUGGGCUUGGAGAGUGACAAUGCUAAUGAAAUAGGGUAAAUAACAAGCUUGGAAGUGAAGACCAGGCCAGUUUCCUAGAACACUUUUCCAUUCUGUAUCUUGAGACUAUGGAGACAGGAAGUGGAGAGAGCAGAUAAAUCCAUGACACUGUACUCUCCGGGAUCAGCUCCUGCCAUUCCGACUGCCCUAAUAUCCUUUCCUGCCUCCUCUCUCUUCUAGUAUUGCUCUCAGAUCAUGCUGGAUAUGCUUAAUAUAAACUGAAUUUAUCAUCUUCUAGAGAUUCCAAUAUCGACUUUAUGUCAAUAACCUCCCAAAUGCCUGUAUUUUGUUCUGAAGUUUCCUCGGGGCAGUAUUUUCAGCUCUCUAUUGGCCAUACCACUUGGAUGAAUAAAAAGAACGUCAAUCUCCA